rnacentral:rRNA from 1 species
GUUGAAGCCAGUCGUACUGGCGGGCAAUCAGCCUUUUGGGUGUGAUUAUGUGGAGCGUGAGGAGUUAAUCACUUUCAUCUUUGCAUAUUCGUGCACUUUGGGUGUACUUGCUCGUGUAGUAGGUUAACAUCAAUUUUAAUUAUCAUAAAAUGGCUGGAGGAAUGUAGCUUCGAUCUCGUAUUGAAGUGUUAUAGUCUUCGGUAGAUGUGAUGAUUGGGAUUGAGGAUUGCAACGGAUACUCUUCGGGGCUACCUGUCUGAUCUCUGAAAGUUGCUCUGGUGCUGAAAGCUUGCUUAUGGUGUCAAAGUUGACGUUCAAUAGGUUAGAAUGGGUUAAAUUCGUUAAUGACGUAA